CCGCUAUGAUGAUUUGCUUUCGGUCCGUGUUUCUGACAUUUGUUUGAAGAUUUGAAAGCUCUGAGUGG
rnacentral:snoRNA from 1 species